CCUACGGGGGACAGCAGUGAGGAAUAUUGGUCAAUGGACGAGAGUCUGAACCAGCCAAGUAGCGUGAAGGAUGACUGCCCUAUGGGUUGUAAACUUCUUUUAUAUGGGAAUAAAAUGUUCCACGUGUGGGAUUUUGUAUGUACCAUAUGAAUAAGGAUCGGCUAACUCCGUGCCAGCAGCCGCGGUAAUACGGAGGAUCCGAGCGUUAUCCGGAUUUAUUGGGUUUAAAGGGAGCGUAGGUGGAUUGUUAAGUCAGUUGUGAAAGUUUGCGGCUCAACCGUAAAAUUGCAGUUGAAACUGGCAGUCUUGAGGACAGUAGAGUUGGGCGGAAUUCGUGGUGUAGCGGUGAAAUGCUUAGAUAUCACGAAGAACUCCGAUUGCGAAGGCAGUUCACUGGACUGCAACUGACACUGAGGCUCGAAAGUGUGGGUAUCAAACAGGAUUAGAUACCCGAGUAGUC
rnacentral:rRNA from 1 species